CGGCGGACGGGUGAGUAAUGCCUAGGAAUCUGCCUGGUAGUGGGGGACAACGUUUCGAAAGGAACGCUAAUACCGCAUACGUCCUACGGGAGAAAGCAGGGGACCUUCGGGCCUUGCGCUAUCAGAUGAGCCUAGGUCGGAUUAGCUAGUUGGUGAGGUAAUGGCUCACCAAGGCGACGAUCCGUAACUGGUCUGAGAGGAUGAUCAGUCACACUGGAACUGAGACACGGUCCAGACUCCUACGGGAGGCAGCAGNU
rnacentral:rRNA from 1 species